rnacentral:lncRNA from 1 species
CCAUCUCUUGUUUUGCUUUACUAUUAAUAGACUUAGCUAUUAAGUUAGGAGGACAUAAGACAAAACAAACAAAGCCAAUACCAAGAACAAGCUACCGUGAGCUUGGAGAAGAAGAAAGGCAGCAUCGGGUGAGCUAGGAGAAGAAAGAAAAAAAAAAAAAAAAGAAAGGGAAUCAUUGGGGUUAUUCAUCCAACCUUGCUUGCAACCAACCAAGGGAACUUUGUUGGAGAGUUGGAGCUCAAGGAUACAUCUCCUCAAAGAGUCGGCCAGCUAGGGGGUAUGAUUAAGGAUUUGAGGUAAACCAAUUUCCUAACUCUUGAUUCUUGUGGUAAAACAUAUGAUUGAUGAUUGGAAGUUGAAUCUAACUAGCUAGGAACUGAUUUGAACGGCUGGAAAUUCGUUUGAUUGGGUGGAAUUUAAAUGAACUUCAAGUGUUCCUUUUCUGUUAAGAUUUCUGUCCGAAAUUAGUCUGAAACUUCGAACAUGUUGGGAGCUGAUUUGGCCUUAGUACAAAACAUGAAAGUUGUAGGGAAUGAUGUUUUAUAGUUUCCUGUAAAAUUUCAGCUCAAUCAGAGCAACGUAGCCUGUGAAAAGACCAAAAUACCCCUGCUUCCCUGUAUUUAUCCGAAACUGAUAAUCAGCUUCUGUAAUUGGAUGUUUUGACCAGGAAUACUACUGAUUUGGUUGUUGAUGUCUUCUUAAGACUUAUAGCCUUGUGUCUUAGCUUUCUAAUGGCUUUGGAAUUACCUGAAUUGGAGUUGUGUGUGCUGAGAUAUGAGUGAAUAAAGCAGGACUGCUAGUUGAUUUCUGCAGUGAAUUUCAAACUGAAAAAUUCUGGAGUUUCUUUUGGUAAAUUUGACCUAGUUAGGGUGAGAACUGGACUGAACGAUCUUCAUGAAAGUUGUAGGGCUUUGUCUUAUCUUUUUAACGCCUCCAAGAAUGCCUUAAAGGGACUUUGGUAGCCUGCGAUAUGGCCAUUUAAAGGUAGUAUGGUUAAUUAGCCGAUUAGUUGGAACUUGGUUCUGGGAAUUGGGAAUUUGACUAGGUUACACUGGAAUUUGGACUAAAUGGUCUUCAUCAAAAUUUUAUCCCUCUGUCUUAGCUUCGAAACGGUAUAAAUUACAUUGAAAUCCGAUAAGCGUAGUGUCGGAUGUGUCCGUUACGCAAAACCCGUCAAAUCUGUCUUUUGUUAAGUUUCAUUUCCGCAUUUGUUAUUAGCUCGAUUUCUAUACCUGUAUUGUUUUGAGCCUAUGGAAUGGCCAUUGAAAUGAAUUUGUGUUGUGGAUAACCUUGGUUUGAUUGAGAAAAAGAAUGAAGCCGUAAAUGGCUGGAAAUAGGAAAAUACAAAGGGCGUGCUGCCCAAAUUUUCGCUCGAGGGCUAAGUUUUUAUUUGAACUUGUAUAUUUUUGUUUGGCAAAUACUAUAACCGUUUUUCCAUCUUAAAACAUGAUCAUUCUUCAAUUGGAAACUCCAAAUGUUUACUUACUCUUACCAAAUAAAGAGGAAUGGUUUAGGGUUUUCUUGAGUAUUUUUGUCCUCCCUCUUUUUCAUGAAGUCUAUAAUAUCUACUUGAAUAUGAAAUGAUUUUGAACCAUAUAAACGAUUUCAAAAACAGUAUUUCUUAGCCUAUCUAGUUGGAUUCCGACUUGUCUUUGGUUCAAGUGUUUACAUUAGAAAAUUUUAUAGCCCUUUUGAGUUUGGUUUUACGUUUGGUCUAUGAAACCCUAGUUAUUUUAUCCACGGGUCCAAAUGUCCUCGUUUCACUUUAAAGUCUUUUUAUACAUUCUACUCAUCAUUUGUAAAGUUCUUUGAUUUCACCUAAUUGUUUGUGCUAGAUGAGCUGUAAUAUUCUUUCUCAUUUAAUCUUAGGUUUUCUCGGUGACUAAGGAUAUUU